GUAAAAGACUUGCGAACGAGGCGAAGAAGUACCUCAGUGCCCAGGCGAUGAUCACAUUAUAAUAGAAAUCGACGUAGAAUGCAAUUAAUACCACUGCGUAGCCAAUUCCUACGCACAAAUAAAAAAUUAUAUAUAAAAAGGAUUAAAAAAUCUCCAAGGACGUGUCCUUAUGUCCUGGUUCCCAGCCGGAGAAUAUUCCAUUAUCCUCCCGUGGGGAGGCCGUAUCUUCACCGUCACGAAUCAAUUACGUCGUUCAUCGAUGCGGAUCAAAAGGGAAAAAACGCGCGUAAGACAAGAGAGUCGAGAGAGAAAAAAAAAAAUCUGGUUCCAUCGAUCAUCUCACGCCAGGGUAGCCCGAGAUUGAGAUCGUCACGAUCCAGGAAAUCGGCGGAAAUGGGGGACUACUUCUCGAGUGGUCUUCCAUCCUCGGAUUUUCCCGGAUUUAUACCGCGUUACAUAAUGUACCGUGUGGGGAAGAAAGGAAGAAAAGAAAAUAUAACGUCUAAUGUCUAAUGCACGGUUUCCGGUGAAGAUGACGGUAAAGUGCUUUGAAACGUUUUCCAGAAAUGUUCUGAGAGGCAAUCGGAAUAGUAAUUGGCCAGCAGUGCUGUUACCUCUAUUGUUGAUGAAGUCUAUUCGGUGAAUGGUAUCGAGUGGAUGGGGGUAUUUUUAACGCGAUUAUUUCAAAGCUGGGUGAAAAAUAAUGGAAAUUCGUCUUACUUACCUUUUAAAAGUGGUACCAAACGACCCCAGCAAGUGAUCGCACCUUUUCGAUUGAACUGACCCAAGGCAAGCUCCAUAUAAAACAAUGGAAUACCUCCUACUACUAA